rnacentral:rRNA from 1 species
GUAGGGAAUAUUGCGCAAUGGACGAAAGUCUGACGCAGUGACGCCGCGUGAGUGAUGAAGGCCUUAGGGUCGUAAAGCUCUGUUGAAUGGGAAGAAAAAAAUGACGGUACCAUUCGAGGAAGGACCGGCUAACUUCGUGCCAGCAGCCGCGGUAAUACGAGGGGUCCUAGCGUUGUUCGGAAUCAUUGGGCGUAAAGGGUGUGUAGGUGGCCAUGUAAGUCAGGUGUGAAAGCCCCGGGCUCAACCCGGGAAGUGCACUUGAUACUGCGUGGCUUGAGUACCGAAGAGGGUAGUGGAAUUCCAGGUGUAGUGGUGAAAUACGUAGAUAUCUGGAGGAACACCGGUGGCGAAGGCGGCUACCUGGUCGAGUACUGACACUGAGACACGAAAGCAUGGGGAUCAAACAGGAUUAGAUACCCCGGUAGUCC